CGGCGUCGACGUGCCGGACCGCGGCACGCUGCACGCCGCCGCCGUGCAGGCGCAGUCCGGCGCCUCCGCGGGGAUCGACACGACGGACGCCGC
rnacentral:tRNA from 1 species